AACGAACGCUGGCGGCGCGCCUAAUACAUGCAAGUCGAGCGAGAAGGUGUAGCAAUACACUUGUAAAGCGGCGAACGGGUGAGGAAUGCAUGGGUAACCUACCCUCGAGUGGGGAAUAACUAGCCGAAAGGUUAGCUAAUACCGCAUACGUUUCCGGAACUUCGGUUUCGGAAAGAAAGCAAUACCGUGGGUAUUGCGCUCCUGGAUGGGCUCAUGUCCUAUCAGCUUGUUGGUGAGGUAACGGCUCACCAAGGCUUCGACGGGUAGCUGGUCUGAGAGGACGAUCAGCCACACUGGCACUGCGACACGGGCCAGACUCCUACGGGAGCAGCAGUAAGGAAUAUUGCGCAAUGGACGAAAGUCUGACGCAGCGACGCCGCGUGGGGGAUGAAGGUCUUCGGAUUGUAAACCCCCUUUCGGGAGGGAAGAUGGAGUGGGGUAACCACUUGGACGGUACCUCCAGAAGCAGCCACGGCUAACUUCGUGCCAGCAGCC
rnacentral:rRNA from 1 species